AUUAUAUAAAAGAGCAUUUAACGAAUAUCUUGGUAAGAAAUAUAAGGACGUCGCGCGACGAAACUUUACACGUAAGCACAAGCUUGUGAUGUGUAGGUCUCCUACAAGAAAACUUUAACUUUUUAACAAAAACAAUGUGAAUUGAACCAUCUUAGUAACAUUGACAAUAAAAAUCAAAAGAGACUUUACUAGUAAUGGUGAAUGAACGUAAAGAUAGCUUAAUUUAAACGAACAUUUGGAAGUAUCUUAAAAAGGUUCAAGUCCUGUACAAUAGAUUCGUUAUUUUUAUAAGUAGUGUGAAGCUUAUUUUGCAUGAAAAGAGGAGAACCACCUUCUAAGCUUAAAAAAUUUCUUAACCGAUAGUGAACGAGUACCGUGAGGGAAAGAUAAAAAAUUUCGAAAGAAAUUUAUUAAUUUAAAAUUGAAUGUUUAUAAGUUUUUGAAAUUUUAAACAUAAAAAUAACAAAGUGCCUUUUGCAUAAUGAGUCAGUAAGUUAAAUAGCAUAGCAAGCUAAACUUUAACUUUUAAGCGUUGAAAAGUUAUGUUAUUUAAACCUGAAGCCAAGUGAUCUAAUUGAAAGCAGGUUGAAACUUUACUAACAUAUUGUUGAAGACCGAACUCGUACAUGUAGCAAAAUGUAGAGAUGACUUUUAGUUAGGGGCGAAAGACCAAUCAAACUUGGCGAUAGCCGGUUUUUCACGAAACGUAUUUUAGUACUACGUUACCAACGUAAAUUAAAGGUAAAGUACUUACUAAAUAAGGGGGUCUAAAAACUUACCAAGUUUAGUUUAACUCAGAAUUUUAAUUUAAUUUCGGUAGCAGACAGUCUUUAAGCGAUAAGGUUUAAAGACAAAAGGAAAACAAUCCAGAUCGUAUGUUAAGACCUCAAAAUUAUAAUUUAGUGAAAAAAAUUACUAUUCUAAACAAAUAAAAAGGAUAGGCUUAGAAGCAGCCUUUCAUUGUAGAAAGCGUUUUAGCUCAAUAUUUUUUCAAUAGUAAUUAAAAAUGAAAGGAGACUUUAAAUUAUAUGUCGAUACAACGAAUCAAAUAUAUACUAUUUGAUGGUAGUGAAACGUUCUGUUUUAAAUGUAUUAAAUGAUAAAUUGAUACUAAAUUUCAGAAGUGCUAAUGCUGACAUGAGUAGCGUAAACUGUGUAAAAAUUACAGUCACUUAAUAUCAAAGGUUUUCAAUGCAAUUUUUUACACAUUGAGUUAGUCGGUCCUUAAAAGAAGAGUGAAAACUGUACUUGACAGGAAAAAAUACCAAUUAUAUGCAAUAUUUUGUUAAAAAAAUUACUUAAACUAUACGUUUGAAAAGGUAAAACGUAUAAAAUUACUUAAUUUUCAAGAAAAAAUUAUAAUUUUUAGGCCGUACUAAAACCGACACAGGUAGAUUAAAAGUGAAUGAAUAAAUUAUAUUGAAGGAACUCGGCAAAUUUACUCUGUAUGUUCGCUAUAAAGAGGGCUGGAUAUAUCCAGUGACAUAAACAAAGAAGUAACGACUGGUUACCAAAACCACAGGACUCUGCAAAUUGCUAAAACCGUAUAGAGUCUGACGUCUGCCCAGUGCUUAAAAGCGAUAAAUCUAGGUUUAAGCUUAGAUUUCAACCUUAAGUAAACGGCGGUUCUAACUAUAAGAAUCCUUAGGUAGCGAAAUUCCUUGACGGGUAAAUUCCGUCCCGCAUGAAUGACGUCACGAUUGCUUCACUGUCUCCAAUAUAAAUUCAGCGAAAUUACAAAAUCCAUGAAAAUGUGGAUUACCUGCAGUAAGACGGAAAGACCCUAGAUCCUUUACUCUAUUUUUAUAUCGUAAAAGAAAAAUAAAAGUAUAGAAUAAGUGGGAGUAUUAAGAUACAAAAUUUGAAAUACCACUCUUUUACCAAACUUUUACUUAUUUGUUAAAAACAAAAACUGUAUAAAAAAGGGAGUUUACUUGGGACGAGUACCUCCUAAAAUGUAACGGAGGUGUACAAAGGUAAGUUACAAUUACUUAAAUAAAGUAAUGAAGCGUGUAACGGCAAAAACUUGCUUAACAAAGAGAUUGAUAAAUCAACUUGAAACGAAAGUUUGUCGUAGUGAUCCGGUAUGUAUGCGUGGAAAUAGUACCGCUUAACAAAUAAAAGGAACUCUAGGGAUAACAGAUUCAUCGUGGUUAAGAGUUCUUAUUGAUGCCACGGUUUGAUACCUCGAUGUCGACUCAUCUUAUCCUGAAAUUGAAGCAGAUUUCAAGGGUCUAGUUGUUCGCUAGUUAAAAAGGUACGUGAGUUGGGUUCAGAACGUCGUGAGACAGUUCGGUCCCUAUCUGCUGCAGGAGUGAAAAGAAUAAAAUCUGUUUUUAGUACGAGAGGACCAAAACAGUUUAACCACUGGUGUAUUGGUUGUUAAACCUUUAACAAUGCCAAGUAGCUAAGUUAAAUAGUAUUUAAAUGUUGAAAGAAUCAAAAACAUUAAACUUAUUUUAUCACUUUUCGUGAGGUUUCUAAAAGAUAAUUAGAUAGAUCGUUUUAAAGUAUGUUAUUUAGUGAUAAAAAGCUUAUAAAAACGAACGAAGCCCAUAAAAAAUUAC
rnacentral:rRNA from 1 species